rnacentral:rRNA from 2 species
CAGCAACGCCGCGUGGAGGAUGACACUUUUCGGAGCGUAAACUCCUUUUGUUAGGGAAGAAUAAUGACGGUACCUAACGAAUAAGCACCGGCUAACUCCGUGCCAGCAGCCGCGGUAAUACGGAGGGUGCAAGCGUUACUCGGAAUCACUGGGCGUAAAGGACGCGUAGGCGGAUUAUCAAGUCUCUUGUGAAAUCUAACGGCUUAACCGUUAAACUGCUUGGGAAACUGAUAAUCUAGAGUAAGGGAGAGGCAGAUGGAAUUCUUGGUGUAGGGGUAAAAUCCGUAGAUAUCAAGAAGAAUACCUAUUGCGAAGGCGAUCUGCUGGAACUUAACUGACGCUAAUGCGUGAAAGCGUGGGGAGCAAACAGGAUUAGAUACCCUGGUAGUCCACGCCCUAAACGAUGUAUACCGGUUGUUGCUGUGCUAGUCACGGCAGUAAUCCACCUAACGGAUUAAGUAUACCGCCUGGGGAGUACGGUCGCAAGAUUAAAACUCAAAGGAAUAGACGGGGACCCGCACAAGCGGUGGAGCAUGUGGUUUAAUUCGAAGAUACGCGAAGAACCUUACCCGGACUUGAUAUCUAACAAAUCAUCCAGAGAUGGAAGAGUGUCUGCUUGCAGAAAUGUUAAGACAGGUGCUGCACGGCUGUCGUCAGCUCGUGUCGUGAGAUGUUGGGUUAAGUCCCGCAACGAGCGCAACCCACGUCAUUAGUUGCUAACGGUUCGGCCGAGCACUCUAAUGAGACUGCCUUCGUAAGGAGGAGGAAGGUGUGGACGACGUCAAGUCAUCAUGGCCCUUAUGUCCGGGGCGACACACGUGCUACAAUGGCAUAUACAAUAAGACGCAAUAUCGUAAGAUGGAGCAAAUCUAAAAAAUAUGUCCCAGUUCGGAUUGGAGUCUGCAACUCGACUCCAUGAAGCCGGAAUCGCUAGUAAUCGUAGAUCAGCCAUGCUACGGUGAAUACGUUCCCGGGUCUUGUACUCACCGCCCGUCACACCAUGGGAGUUGAUUUCACUCGAAGCGGGAAUGCGAAAUUCGCUACCCUCCACAGUGGAAUCAGCGACUGGGGUGAAGUCGUAACAAGGUAACCGUAGGAGAACCUGCGGUUG